GCUUUCUGAGUAACAUGGUCGUACCUUCCCAGUGGGCAUACGGCCUAAACGGACGCGGUAAACGUGCUAAGGUAGCUAAAUUAUGGCCCAUUAAUUGUGGGUCCUGUGAAUGGUUUGACGAGUCCUCGACUGUCUCAAGGUUGUUUUGGUGAACUUGAAUUGAACGUGCAAAUGCUUUCGUGGGUAAGAAAGACGAGAAGACCCCGUGAAGUUAGAAAUUAGUGUUAAAGAAAUGUGAGUUUUGGCUGGGGCAGCAAAGAGGCAAAACUAGACCUUUUUAAAACGGGUGCGUAACGACCCACAAUAGUGUGAUUAGCAGAAGGAGUUACUCCGGGGAUAACAGCGUUAUCGCCUUGAUAGUUCGUAUAGAUGGGCGGGUUUGCGACCUCGAUGUUGGCUCUGGUUAUCCUGAGGCUUGAGGGGGUCUCAAGGGUUGGUUCGUUCGCCCAUUAAAAUCC
rnacentral:rRNA from 1 species